rnacentral:rRNA from 1 species
GACGAACGCUGGCGGCGUGCUUAACACAUGCAAGUCGAACGGAAAGGCCUGCUUUCCCUUGUGGAUUGCGGGUACUCGAGUGGCUAACGGGUGAGUAACACGUGCGUGAUCUUCCCCCAACUUGGGUAUAAGCCUGGGAAACUGGGUCUAAUUCCCGAUAGGACUGCAGGGUGGUGCCUGUGGUGGAAAACGAUUUUCUAGUGGGUGGGGAUGAGCUCGCGGCCUAUCAGCUUGUUGGUGGGGUAAUGGCCUAGCGAGGCGGCCACGGUUAGCCGGCACGAGAGGGUGGACGGCGAGGGUGGGACGGCGCAAUGGGCCAGAGUCCCGGGGCAGGCAGCAGAGGGGAGUAGUGGAGGAUGGGCGUAAGCCUGAUGUAGCGACGCCGUGUGGGGGAUGACGGCGUUGGGGUUCUGACCUCCUGUCGAAAGCGAGGUAGCCACCUGGUUGGGAGGGCGGUGACGGUAGUGGGAGAAGAAGCACCGGCUAACUACGUG